UAACAAAGCAAGCAGUAGCUGAUAUGUUAUAUUAUUAAUAAUUGUAUAUUUAAUGUAUUACUUUAUUUUUAUAAGUAAUGUUUUACUUAUGUUUUAAAACUAUACCUCUGUCAAAAUAUGGUUUUGCACAUUCCACCGCCGUUGGUCGCACUAACCAUAAAUUCAGUAGGCCUUGUUAUGUCAUUUGUUUUCCGUUAAAUUUCGAAUUUAUAUUUUGUUCUAUACGAUCCCAAAUUUUCUUCAUAAUUACACUAAAAUGGAUCAUCUACCAGCCAUCUACGAGGUCAGGAAUAACCAAAUAAUCCCAAUUGAAUAUAUGCAAAGGACUGAGAAUCCAUCAGAGCCCAUGGCAAUCAACCUUGAAGGGGUAGCCAGAGAUCUUCAUAAAGUAAAGCAACUACAAGAAGAAAAAAUACAGCUGCAUAGUGCCACAGAAAAACUUCCAUAUCUUCAGGAAAAGUUUGUCUCAUUGCACACAAAAAGAAUAAUGCAAACCAUUCGAGAACUGGCAGAUGCAAAUCCAAACAUUAAAAGAAUGAGUGAAAAAGAGAUGAUUGAAGACGGAAUGCGGCGCGACAGAAAGAAUCAAAUGUACGCCGCAAAAUUAAAAUUUUGUAACAGAAUUUAUUCAAAUCUGAAUGAAAAGUUGCUGGAACAGAUUAACACAUUAAAAGUUUUAAAUGCAUCUGCUCAAGAGGAUAUCAAAGCAUUCAAAGUAACAAAUGAAGAAAUAUAUCAACUAGAAGGAAAAAUUAAGCGUUACGACAGCGAAAUUACAAAGCUGGAGAAGAAAUAUCCAUGGUUAAAGAAUUCAGAACUGAAAUUAACCAGUAUAAUGGAUGAGGUGCAUAAAUUAGAUGAUCUCAGGCAGAAACACAAGGAAUUAAAGACACAACUGGAUUGUUACAAGGGAUUAAGUAGUGACCUGGCUGAAGCCCGCCAUAAACUGAUAGCAGUUAAAGAUCAGUAUGAAAAGUUAAAGUAAAAAAGUUUUUAAAUUGAAAAUGUUAGUUUUAAGAAGUUAAACUUAAACAAAUGACACUUAACAAACAAACGCUUUUAUCAGAUGAGAAGUAGAAGUAAAUAAUUCCAAUAUAACUAGAUUCUUAAUUAAUUUAUUUGUGCAAAAGGAAAGGUUGGCUGUGAGAAGUUAAAUCUGUACAAAUGUCACCAAACAUACUUGAUUAGGCAAUAAAAUUUUUAGUAAUUGAUACAAAAUGCAGUCACCAAAAGAUGUAGCCUUACCAGAAUUCCGCAAUUUGAGUUUUGUGGAAUUAGAGGAUUUUGUGAACAUGUCAAGUGUCAUGAUAAAAGACUAUGAAGUGCAGUUCAUGAAUCAAGUUCAAGAAAUUAAUAAAAUAUUCGCUGAUGUGGGAAAUAAUGACAGCAAGUGUGAAAAUAUGAAUCGGAUGCUGAAUUACUUGAGGCACUGGCAGCAAUUAAUUGAACUGAAUAUUUCGCUAACGAAUAAAUUAAUGUACGAAUUAGAAGCGAAUAUUAUUGAAUUCGAGGGUGAUGGGUUAAAUAAUGGAUUACAGAGUAUGCUGGAUCCGCUUCGAGUCGUAGUUUAUCCUAUCAUUUUGAAAGUAAACGAGGCGAUGACUAAACUUAUAACAGCAUUUGAAGAAAUAAUGUCAUCUUUAUUUGUUUCUAAAGAGAAUCGUACGCCGGAUCAGGCUACGCUAACACAAAAAAUCUUGGACCAGCAGCUCAGGCAACUGGAGCAUCUUGAAAUAAUGAUUCACAAACUGCAGAAGAAUUUACAGGACAAUAACAAUUUCUGUAAUUUAAUUGGGCCAAGCACUACAACGCGAUUUUGUAAUUGCCUCUAAGCGUUGAGUUAUGUCACGAACGUGAUCAGUUAAACACAACUCGGCAGCAGGCGUAUCUUAUCAAACCUAAAUAAACAUAUUUGUUGCGCCUUAA